rnacentral:rRNA from 1 species
UACAGAGGGUGCGAGCGUUAAUCGGAUUUACUGGGCGUAAAGCGUGUGUAGGUGGCUACCUAAGUCGAUUGUGAAAUCCCUGGGCUCAACCUGGGAAUUGCAGUCGAUACUGGGAAGCUCGAGUUUGGUAGAGGACGGCGGAAUUCCCGGUGUAGCGGUGAAAUGCGUAGAUAUCGGGAGGAACAUCGAUGGCGAAAGCAACCGUCUGGGCCUGAACUGACACUGAGACACGAAAGCGUGGGGAGCAAACAGG